GCAAACUUGGUCAUUUAGAGGAAGUAAAAGUCGUAACAAGGUUUCCGUAGGUGAACCUGCGGAAGGAUCAUUAAAAGGUUUAUCAUGGUCAAAAAAGAGCUUGUCUCUUUUUUGGCUUAACCAUGAUCUAUCCACUAUGUGCAUUUAUUGAAAUAUGCUUUGACAAGGACAAUUAAUUUUGUUCUUGUCAGAGAUUUUCUUUUAUAUCCUUAAUGUUUGACUGAUAAAAAUUUUUAUAAAUAAUAAAAAUACAACUUUCAACAACGGAUCUCUUGGCUCUCGCAUCGAUGAAGAACGCAGC
rnacentral:misc_RNA from 1 species